CUCUUCUAUUCUAUUAUUUCUUCUCUUUCUUCUCUGGAAUAUCUACUUUUAGGGCUACUACCUAACAGGACAAUGGCAUGGGGUUUGAUGUUGUACUUGUGUGUCCAUUUGAUGAGUAGAGAUUAAGUAAAAUAGAAGGAAAAUACAAAAAAGUAUCAUGUGGUUUUAGCUAUUUUUAAUUAGGGUCCGUGGUUAGGUUUUUACAAACCAGUACCCUAUGUUUAAAUCUAUUAGCAGAGAAGGUUCAAAAGCCCUAACACCGUUAGUGGUUACUGGCAUGGCUGCUGAAAAAUAACUCCAAGCCAAUAGCCAUUAAAUUUAUUUGGGUGAUAAGUACUUCUUCGCUAACGGACUUAACGACAGGGCGCUGGUUUGUCAAAACCCAAACAAUAGGACCCUAAUUUAAUAUGGCCCAAAAUAUAAGGUACUUUUUGUACUUUGCCCUAAAAUUAUUAAAUCAAGAAAUUCAUUCAAAUUAGCAGAUUCUGCUUGAAGA
rnacentral:misc_RNA from 1 species